GUCGAACGGAAGAAUACGGCGACGAGAUUUCGGUCAAAUCAAGUGUAUCUUUAGUGGCGGACGGGUGAGUAACGCGUGGGUAACCUGCCAUAUACAGGGGGAUAACACUUAGAAAUAGGUGCUAAUACCGCAUAAGCGCACAUGGCCGCAUGGCCAGGUGUGAAAAACUCCGGUGGUAUAUGAUGGACCCGCGUCUGAUUAGCUAGUUGGUGAGGUAACGGCCCACCAAGGCGACGAUCAGUAGCCGGCCUGAGAGGGUGGACGGCCACAUUGGGACUGAGACACGGCCCAAACUCCUACGGGAGGCAGCAGUGGGGGAUAUUGGACAAUGGGGGGAACCCUGAUCCAGCGACGCCGCGUGAGUGAAGAAGUAUCUCGGUAUGUAAAGCUCUAUCAGCAGGGAAGAAAGAAAUGACGGUACCUGAGUAAGAAGCCCCGGCUAACUACGUGCCAGCAGCCGCGGUAAUACGUAGGGGGCAAGCGUUAUCCGGAAUUACUGGGUGUAAAGGGAGCGUAGACGGUGAUGUAAGUCUGGAGUGAAAGGCGGGGGCCCAACCCCCGGACUGCUCUGGAAACUAUAUGACUGGAGUGCAGGAGAGGUGAGCGGAAUUCCUAGUGUAGCGGUGAAAUGCGUAGAUAUUAGGAGGAACACCAGUGGCGAAGGCGGCUCACUGGACUGUAACUGACGUUGAGGCUCGAAAGCGUGGGGAGCAAACAGGAUUAGAUACCCUGGUAGUCCACGCCGUAAACGAUGAUCAC
rnacentral:rRNA from 1 species